rnacentral:lncRNA from 1 species
CCCCAAACCCAACAGAGUUGACCCCAAACCCAACGAGGUUGACCCCAAACCCAACAGGGACUGACCCCAAACCCAACAGUUGACCCCAAACCCAACAGGGCUGACCCCAAACCCAAUGGGGUGACCCCAAACCCACCGGGGCCUGACCCCAAGCCCCCCAGGCCCCCCGACCCACCUGCACGGUGUACUUGCAGACCCCCAGGGUGUUCCAGAGCUUGAUGGUCUUGUCCCGGGAGCCGGACACGAUCUGCCGGUUGUCGGAGGAGAAGGCCACGCUCAGCACGUCCUUGGUGUGCCCCACGAAGCGCCGCGUCGUCGUCCCCCUGCAACGGGACCAGGGUCGGGAGCCAGCCAGGAGGGGUCAGAGCCCACUGGGAAGGGUCAGGAGCCAUCCAGGGAGGGUCAGGAGCCAUCCAGGGAGGGUCAGGAGCCAUCCAGGAAGGGUCAGAUCCCACCAUGAAGGAUCAGGAUCCCACUGGGAAUGGUCAGGAACCAUCCAGAAAGGGUUGGGAUCCCAUUGGGAAGGGUCAGGAGACAUCCAGGACGGGUCAGGAUCCCACCAAGAAGGGUCAAGAUCCAUCCAGGAAUGGUCAGAUCCCACCAGGAAGGGUUGGGAUCCCAUUGGGAAGGGCCAGGAGCCAUCCAGGAAUGGCCAGAUCCCAACAGGAAGGGUUGGGAUCCCAUCAGGAAGGGUCAGGAGCCAUCCAGGAAGGGUCAGGAUCCCACUGGGAAGGGUCAGGAGCCAUCCAGGAAGGGUCAGGAGACAUCCAGGAAUGGUCAGAUCCCACCAGGAAGGGUUGGGAUCCCAUUGGGAAGGGUCAGGAGACAUCCAGGAAGGGUCAAGAUCCAUUCUGGGAGGGUCAGAUCCCACCAGGAAGGGUCAGGAUCCCACUGGGAAGGGUCAGGAGCCAUCCAGGGAGGGUCAGAUGCCACCAAGAAGGGUCAAGAUCCAUUCUGGGAGGGUCAGAUCCCAUUGGGAAGGGUCAGGAUCCCACUGGGAAGGGUCAGGAGCCAUCCAGGAAUGGGGGACAUGGAUCAGGAUCCCACCAGGAAUGGGGGACACAGGUCAGGAUCCCACCAGGAAUUGUGAGGAUCCCCCAGAAAUAAGAGGGGAAAAGGGUCAGGAUCCCCCCAGCACAUUGAGAGGAAAUCCAGGGCUUGGAGGGGGAAAAAUCCAAGGAUUUUAGAGAAAAAUCCAGAACCUAGAAGGGGGAAAUCCAGGGAUUGGGAUGGAAAAGAGGACCUGGAGUGGUCUGUGAGGGGGUUUGGGGGAUCAGGACGAGUUUGGCUCCACAAAUCCCAACCCUCUUCCAGCUGCACCCCC